rnacentral:rRNA from 1 species
GAUGAACGCUGGCGGCGUGCCUAAUACAUGCAAGUCGAGCGAACAGAUGAGGAGCUUGCUCCUCUGACGUUAGCGGCGGACGGGUGAGUAACACGUGGAUAACCUACCUAUAAGACUGGGAUAACUUCGGGAAACCGGAGCUAAUACCGGAUAAUAUAUUGAACCGCAUGGUUCAAUAGUGAAAGACGGUUUUGCUGUCACUUAUAGAUGGAUCCGCGCCGCAUUAGCUAGUUGGUAAGGUAACGGCUUACCAAGGCGACGAUGCGUAGCCGACCUGAGAGGGUGAUCGGCCACACUGGAACUGAGACACGGUCCAGACUCCUACGGGAGGCAGCAGUAGGGAAUCUUCCGCAAUGGGCAAAAGCCUGACGGAGCAACGCCGCGUGAGUGAUGAAGGUCUUCGGAUCGUAAAACUCUGUUAUUAGGGAAGAACAAAUGUGUAAGUAACUAUGCACGUCUUGACGGUACCUAAUCAGAAAGCCACGGCUAACUACGUG